rnacentral:rRNA from 1 species
GUUGUAUGGUUAAGUGACUAAGCGUACAUGGUGGAUGCCUUGGCAGUCAGAGGCGAUGAAGGACGUACUAACCUGCGAUAAGCUGUGAGAAGUCGGUAAGAGACGCUAUUACUCACAGAUUUCCGAAUGGGGAAACCCACCCAAGAUAACUUGGGUAUCUGUUACUGAAUACAUAGGUAACAGAGGCGAACCGGGAGAACUGAAAC